rnacentral:rRNA from 1 species
GAUGAACGCUGGCGGCGUGCUUAACACAUGCAAGUCGAACGGAAAGGCUCCUGCUUGCAGGGGUACUCGAGUGGCGAACGGGUGAGUGACACGUGGGUGAUCUGCCCUGCACUUCGGGAUAAGCCUGGGAAACUGGGUCUAAUACCGGAUAGGACGAUGGUUUGGAUGCCAUUGUGGAAAGUUUUUUCGGUGUGGGAUGAGCUCGCGGCCUAUCAGCUUGUUGGUGGGGUAAUGGCCUACCAAGGCGUCGACGGGUAGCCGGCCUGAGAGGGUGUACGGCCACAUUGGGACUGAGAUACGGCCCAGACGCCUACGGGAGGCAGCAGUGGGGAAUAUUGCACAAUGGGCGCAAGCCUGAUGCAGCGACGCCGCGUGGGGGAGGACGGCCUUCGGGUUGUAAACUCCUUUCGCUAGGGACGAAGCGCAAGUGACGGUACCUGGAGAAGAAGCACCGGCUAACUACGGGC